ACGCUAGCGGCAGGCCUUAUACAUGCAAGUCGAGGGGCAGCAUUUACUUCGGUAAAUGGCGACCGGCGCACGGGUGAGUAACGCGUAUGCAACCUACCUUUAACUGGGGCAUAGCUCGAGGAAACUCGAAUUAAUUCCCCAUAGUACAUUAUAAUAUCUCAUGAUAUAAAUGUUAAAGAUUUAUCGGUUAAAGAUGGGCAUGCGUCUGAUUAGUUUGUUGGUAAGGUAACGGCUUACCAAGACUACGAUCAGUAGGGGGUCUGAGAGGAUGAUCCCCCACACUGGUACUGAGACACGGACCAGACAUCUACGGAUGGCAGCAGUAAGGAAUAUUGGGCAAUGGGCGCAAGCCUGACCCAGCCAUGCCGCGUGCAGGAUGACGACCCUAUGGGUUGUAAACUGCUUUUAUAUAGGAAGAAAAUACUCUUGCGAGAGGAUCUGACGGUACUAUAUGAAUAAGGACCGGCUAACUCCGUGCC
rnacentral:rRNA from 1 species